ensembl:misc_RNA Y_RNA Y RNA
UGCUGGUCUGAGUGCAGUGGUGUUUACAGAUAAUUGAUGACAACAAAUAGAUUGUUACAGAUUCCUUUGUUCCUUCUCAGCUCCCACUGCUUCUCUUGGCUAGCCUUUA